GACCUCAAAUCAGGUAGGACUACCCGCUGAACUUAAGCAUAUCAAUAAGCGGAGGAAAAGAAACUAACAAGGAUUCCCCUAGUAACUGCGAGUGAAGCGGGAAAAGCUCAAAUUUAAAAUCUGGCAGUCUUUGGCUGUCCGAGUUGUAAUCUAGAGAAGUGUUAUCCGCGCUGGACCGUGUACAAGUCUCCUGGAAUGGAGCGUCAUAGAGGGUGAGAAUCCCGUCUUUGACACGGACUGCCAGGGCUUUGUGAUGCGCUCUCAAAGAGUCGAGUUGUUUGGGAAUGCAGCUCAAAAUGGGUGGUAAAUUCCAUCUAAAGCUAAAUAUUGGCGAGAGACCGAUAGCGAACAAGUACCGUGAGGGAAAGAUGAAAAGAACUUUGGAAAGAGAGUUAAACAGUACGUGAAAUUGCUGAAAGGGAAACGCUUGAAGUCAGUCGCAUUGUGUGGGAAUCAACCUUGCUUUUGCUGGGCGUAUUUUCCAUAUGAUGGGUCAGCAUCAAUUUCGACCGUUGGAUAAAGUUCAAGGGAAUGUGGCAUCUUCGGAUGUGUUAUAGCCCUUGGUUGUAUACAACGAUUGGGAUUGAGGAACUCAGCACGCCGAAAGGCCGGGUCUCGUACCACGUUCGUGCUUAGGAUGCUGGCAUAAUGGCUUUAAUCGACCCGUCUUGAAACACGGACCAAGGAGUCUAACAUGCCUGCGAGUAUUUGGGUGAAAAACCCGAGUGCGUAAUGAAAGUGAAAGUUGAGAUCCCUGUCAUGGGGAGCAUCGACGCCCGGACCAGACCUUUUGUGACGGAUCUGCGGUAGAGCAUGUAUGUUGGGACCCGAAAGAUGGUGAACUAUGCCUGAAUAGGGUGAAGCCAGAGGAAACUCUGGUGGAGGCUCGUAGCGAUUCUGACGUGCAAAUCGAUCGUCAAAUUUGGGUAUAGGGGCGAAAGACUAAUCGAACCAUCUAGUAGCUGGUUCCU
rnacentral:rRNA from 1 species